CCUACGGGAGGCAGCAGUGGGGAAUAUUGCGCAAUGGGCGAAAGCCUGACGCAGCGACGCCGCGUGAGGGAUGAAGGUCUUCGGAUCGUAAACCUCUGUCAGCAGGGAAGAACGGUCGCUGUGCUAAUCAGCAGUGACUUGACGGUACCUGCAAAGGAAGCACCGGCUAACUCCGUGCCAGCAGCCGCGGUAAUACGGAGGGUGCGAGCGUUAAUCGGAAUUACUGGGCGUAAAGCGCUCGUAGGCGGUAUGUCAAGUCAAGGGUGAAAUCCCCGCGCUCAACGUGGGAACUGCCUUUGAAACUGGCAAACUGGAGUGUGUGAGAGGGUAGUGGAAUUCCAGGUGGAGGAGUGAAAUCCGUAGAUAUCUGGAGGAACAUCAGUGGCGAAGGCGACUAUCUGGCACAUAACUGACGCUGAGGAGCGAAAGCGUGGGUAGCAAACAGGAUUAGAUACCCUAGUAGUC
rnacentral:rRNA from 1 species